GGGCCCCCUCGUCAACAGUCCCAUUUGCAGACGUUCCAAGACGCCUUAGCUGACUACUUAUUAGAGGAUGUUGGAUAUAAUGGAGAUAAAUUCACAUGGUUUCGUGGGGGCUUACGCGAGAGACUUGACCGAGCGGUCUCUAAUGCCGCUUGGCUUCUGCUGCACCCGUCCGCCGGUCUUAGUAAUUUGGACAUGGGCAAAUCAGAUCACCGGCCAAUUCUUAUGGAUACCGAGUAUCUGACAGGAGUGGCAGACAGCAACCCUAUAAGUGAGAAGAAGUUUGAAAUGAGGUGUUUGGCAGAAGAAUCAGUAAAUGAUAUUGUCAACACAGCAUGGCAGAUUGCCGUACACCGUGGUUUGUGUCCUACGAUCACCGACAAACUCACGGCUGUACACUUUGAUUUGCAUUAUUGGGAUCGUAGGGUUUUGAGAAAACCGCAGGCUAGACUGAAGGCAGCUCGCCGGGAGCUUGAGAGGAUAAUGAGGGGCCCCUACUCAGACGAAGCAAGAAUGAAACAUAAAGAGUUGUCGGUGUUCAUGAAAAUCCGUUAG
rnacentral:rRNA from 1 species